ensembl:lncRNA
CCUAUAGAUCCUCAGGACGUUCCUUAUGGGGCCGCGGUUGGGCGCCCAGACCCCAUGGCGCCAGGCGACGCACCCCGAAAUCGAGGCGUAUCUGUAUGGGCUCUCACAGCCGGGGGGGCUCAGCCCCCCCAUUCAUUUCUACCGGAACCUUUUUGGCGACUCCCCGGUGCCCCGCGAGCGCCCUUCGUGCCCGGUGCUGAUUUUAUGGGGUGGCUGCGAUGCCUUCCUGGACCCCCGGCUGGCCCCAUACCUACAGCAGCGGAUGGCCCCCCAUGCCCGCCUCCACCUCAUCCCAAAUGCGGGGCAUUGGCUGCCCGAGGACCGCCCCGAAGAAGUCAAUCGUCUCUUAUGGGAUUUCCUGGAGGGGGAGGAGUGAGAAGGGGCCCCAAAUUGAGGAUGGGGUCCUCGCUGGGGUCUGUGGGGUGGUGGGGAGACCAGCGGUGGGAUGGGGAGCCUGAUAUUGGGAUGGGGGCAUUGAGAUCUCGGGGGCAACCCCAACAUUGGGGUGGGACCCCAAUACUGGGGUGGGGACGUUGAGAUCCCAAUGGGGACCCCAAUAUAGGGGUAGGGACAAUGAGAUCCCAAUGGGGACCCCAAUAUAGGGGUGGGGGCGAUGAGAUCCCAAUGGGGACCCCAAUAUAGGGGUGGGGACAAUGAGAUGCCAAUGGGGACCCCAACAUUGGGGUGGGAAUGUUGAGAUCCUAAUGGGGACCCCAACAAUGGGGUUGGAAGAUUGAGAUGCCAAUGGGGACCCCAAUAUAGGGGUGGGAAUGUUGAGAUGCCAAUGGGGACCCCAAUAUUGGGGUGGGGACAAUGAGAUCCCAAUAGGGACCCCAACAUUGGGGUGGGAAAGUUGAGAUCCUAAUGGGGACCCCAGUAUUGAGGUGGAGACACUGAGAUCCCAAUGGGGACCCCAAUAUUGGGGUGGGGACACUGAGAUCCCAAUGAGGACCCCAAUAUUGGGGUGGGGACACUGGGAUCCCAAUGGGGACCCCAAUAUUGGGGUGGGGACAAUGAGAUGCCAUUGGAGACCCCAACAAUGGGGUGGGGACGUUGAGAUCCCAAUGGGGACCCCAAUAUUGGGGUGAAGACACUGAGAUGCCUAUAGAGACCCCAAUAUUGGGGUGGGGACGUUGAGAUCCCAAUGGGGACCCCAAUAUAGGGUUGGGGAGCGCGAUGUUGGGGUGAGGACCCCGAUGUUGGGAUGGAGACCUCAGUAUUGGGAUGGAGAUCUCAACAAUGGGAUGGGGACCCCACUAUGGGGAUGAUGGCGUUGAGAUCCCACUGGAGACCCCAAUAUUGGGGUAUGGGCCUGGAUGUGGGGAUGGGGGUAUUGAAAUCCCAAUGGGGACCCCAACGUUGGGGUAGGGAGCCUGAUUUUGGGAUGGGGGCAGUUGAAAUCCCACUGGGGACCCCAACAUUGGGGUGGGGUCAUUGGGAUUCUUGUGGGGACCCCAACAUUGGGGUGGGGACUGUGGUGUUGGGAUGGAGACCUCAAUAUUGGGAUGGGGACCCCAGGAUGGGGAUGGGGACGUUGAGAUCCCAAUGAUGACCCCAAUGUUGGGGUGGGGACACUGAGAUGCCAAUGGGGACCCCAACAUUGGGGUGGGAUCUUUGGGAUUCUUGUGGGGACCCCAACAUUGGGGUGGGAAGAUUGAAAUCCCAAUGGAGACCCCAACUUUGGGGUGGGGUCAUUGGGAUUCUUGUGGGGACCCCAAUGUUGGGGUGGGACCCCGAUACUUUGUGUUAAAUAAUUCUAUAUGUAUGUAUAUAAAACACAUUAAAAUAAAUAUGUUAAUGAUCUUAAUUAGUUUAUGGGC